GAACAUACAAAACUAAGUGAUUUUUGGAUUCUGCCAAAAGGCCCACAAAGUCCUAGAGACCAUUUGGUUGAAACCGAUAUAUAGUAUAAUAAAGGGGAAAUGAAUUGCAUAAGAUUAAAGACAUAAUAUAUUAUGCAGUGUGCCAUCGUGAAUUUAAGAGAAUUGAAUGAAAUGUUGAUAUGGAAAGUGGUGACCCCACCACACCACACCUUCCGCAAGUUAUAAUGAUGAUUUACACAUAAUAAUCUUCCACAACCAGGGAUGGAUCUGAAUAAGCUUACUACAAUUACCCAAAAUAGGUAUUCUUCUUUUAUUUCAGGAGAGGUGUGACAAUGAUUAACGUAGAAAAUGAUGCGAGGGUAAGGGGUAUUAAGGGAUCAGGAAAAGAGACGCAUGGGACGUAAGAAGCCUCCAAAACCACCGCGGCCUCCUAGGGGUGGCCGAUCAUUAAGUGAAGCUGAUAUAAAAUUGGUUAGAGAAAUUUCGGAACUUUCAAGGUGAAGGCAUACAAGGAAUGAUAGAAGAAAGAAAUUAGAGAAAAAGAGAGUUGAUAAGGCAUCUUCAUCACAUGCUAGUGUUUUUGCAAUGAUCAUCACCAUUCUCUUCAUCUGUUUCGUAAUCUUUCAAGGUAACCACCCAAGGCUCAUUUGUAUGUUUUAAUCUAUUUUUCUUUGCUUAAGCUAUCCUAUAUAUAUGACCUUCAAUUCAAUGUGUGGAUUAGAUCAAAAACAAAUCAGAUAAUCAUCCCUUGGAUAAAUACAUAUUCUUUGUCCAUUCAGCCCCUCUAAUUACUUGUCUUGGUAAUCUAGCUUUUUCUUUUGUUUAUUACAAUUGAUUAGAUAGACAUAUUAAUUAAUUAUUUGAAUAAGGUAAUUAACAUGCAUAUCCAAUUUUUUGAAAUUUAGAUGUAGUUACCCUACCAAUCUUGAGUUGAAUGUGUAAUAUUAUAUCUAUCACAGAUAUGCUGAAAAGGUUGAAGAAUAUAACUACUACUUUUGUGUUAAAUUGUAGCAGGUAAAGUUCAUGAUGGCAUCAUAUCAAUCUUGUUUCUUUCCUAGACUUAUUAGGCAUCUUGGGUUCUAAUGUAUGAUUGUAAUUGGAUUAGAGUUCUUCAGAUUUGCUUAAUGUAGACUAAGGUUUCUAUAUUUCUUCACCAACAUCACCAUUCAAACAUUGGUUCCAAAAACAUUCCAAGAGUUUCAGAUUUCAGAAAACUUAAUGGAUGAUUUAAGUUCAAUUCUUAAAACUAUUUUGCACAUAAAAAUAAACGAAGGUGUGGGAUACUAGCUUCCCAAGUAUGAGGCCUUGUUUGAAGAACUUUGACAAAAUUGGUUUGUUCCACAUGAGUUUUACAACAUUCUACUUAUGAUGAUUUUGUUUUUCCUCUGCAAGUAUGUAAUGAAACAACUGCUAUUGAGUUCUGAAUAUGUUUGAUUUUUUCAAAUUUAUCAAAUGUGGUGCACUACAAAUAGACAUGGUUUCUUCAAUCUAAUUAUAUAUGUUAAAUGUUGAAGCAUAUUGACCAGGGAUUCAAAUUGCGGUUGCAGCCAUGUUUUCAGUCGCAUUGCGUUUAUCGUGGUUGCGGAUAUAACAUAUACUAUUGCGGCCACUGUGGGUAUUGCGGUAGUGAAUUUUUUUUAAAAUUCGCACAACUUAUUGUAAAACAUAAUAAUUAUAAUUAUAAUUAUAAAAAGUCAGUUUUAAUGAUUUUUAGAGUGUUUUCUAACAAUUAUGAACUUUUAUUAAUAUGAGAACACAAUUUUUAUAACCAUUAAUUAUUCUUAUAUUUAUUUGUGAAUUUUCUAAGAAUAUUAUAUUAACUAAUAACAAAGUAAAAAAUAGGAAAUAUUAAAAUUUCAUCAUAUUUAAUAAGUUUGAAAGUUUUUAUAGAUAAAAUAAUUGAAAAUUCAUACAUGAGAGAGGUCUUCAAUAUUUCUUGACAGUUUUGAAGAUGGUGAAUAUAUGAAAACAUUCUAUGCUGCAAAAGGAAAAAAGGAAUAGAUAACUGUAUAGAUUCUCAUUAAUUAUUCCUAUUUCCUACCACUUAUUC
rnacentral:lncRNA from 1 species